GUUACCCAAUGCAGCCCCUGAAUGAGCUCGUAGUAUUUUCCUUAUAAGAUUGGGCCCCAAGGCUGGCGGCGGUGCCGGCCCAGAGCCUAAGAGGAUUAUAAAGGUCAGGCGAAGUGGGGCCAGGGGUGAGCAAC